rnacentral:rRNA from 1 species
AUAUUGGUCAAUGGACGCAAGUCUGAACCAGUCAUGCCGCGUGGAGGAUGAAGGUCCUCUGGAUUGUAAACUUCUUUUAUCUGGGAAGAAAUCACUUUUUUCUAAAGGUGUUGACGGUACCAGAUGAAUAAGCACCGGCUAACUCCGUGCCAGCAGCCGCGGUAAUACGGAGGGUGCAAGCGUUAUCCGGAUUCACUGGGUUUAAAGGGUGCGUAGGCGGAAUGGUAAGUCCGUGGUGAAAUCUCCGAGCUUAACUCGGAAACUGCCGUGGAUACUAUCAAUCUUGAAUGUUGUGGAGGUUUGCGGAAUAUGUCAUGUAGCGGUGAAAUGCUUAGAUAUGACAUAGAACACCGAUUGCGAAGGCAGCAGGCUACACAAAUAUUGACGCUGAGGCACGAAAGCGUGGGGAUCAAACAGG